rnacentral:rRNA from 1 species
AGAGUUUGAUCCUGGCUCAGGAUGAACGCUGGCGGCGUGCCUAAUACAUGCAAGUCGAGCGGUAACACUUCGGGUGACGAGCGGCGGACGGCAGAGUAACGCGUAGGAAUGUACCCCAAACUGAGGGAUAAGCACCGGAAACGGUGUCUAAUACCGCAUGAUAUCUUCGGAUUAAAGCUUCGGCGGUUUGGGAGCGGCCUGCGUAUGAUUAGCUUGUUGGUGAGGUAAUAGCUCACCAAGGCGACGAUCAUUAGCUGGUCUGAGAGGAUGAUCAGCCUGACUGGAACUGAGAACGGUCCAGACUCCUACGGGAGGCAGCAGUAGGGAAUUUUCCGCAAUGGACGAAAGUCUGACGGAGCAACGCCGCGUGCAGGAGGAAGGCCUUCGGGUCGUAAACCUCUUUCAGGCGGGACGAAGCCACUCGGGUUAAUAGCCCAGAGGGUGACGGUACCGUCAGAAGAAGCCCCGGCUAACUACGUGCCAGCCGCCGCGGUAAUUC